GUCCACGCCGUAAACGAUGGAUACUAGCUGUUGGGCGCAAGUUCAGUGGCUAAGCGAAAGUGAUAAGUAUCCCACCUGGGGGAGUACGUUCGCAAGAAUGAAACUCAAAGGAAUUGACGGGGGCCCCGCACAAGCGGUGGAGCAUGUGGUUUAAUUCGAUGAUACGCGAGGAACCUUACCAAGGCUUAAAUGUAGAUUGACCGAUUUGGAAACAGAUCUUUCGCAAGACAAUUUACAAGGUGCUGCAUUGUUGUCGU
rnacentral:rRNA from 1 species